GGGGUUGGGGCUCAGUGGUAGAGCACUUGCCUAGCAUGCAGGGGGCCCUGAGUUCAAUCCUCAGCACCACA
rnacentral:tRNA from 1 species